CCUGCUGGGCUAGGGACUUAGGUUUUGGUUUGAGCAUGGAAAAGAUUCAUUCACAGAAACUCCGCUGCCUUCCUGAGGCAAUGAUCCUGAUCCACUAACCAGCUGCUCUCGCUGGGGCUGGGGGAGUGCAGGGGGCUUUGCUCGCCUUGAAGGGCUGGUGGAAGGAUUCCUCCUCAGCUUCUCCCUUUUCCCCGGGCUCAGAUCCCACCAGGACUGCAACCCUUAGCCCUGUCUGGUCUCCCCUGCAACCCUUGAGGCCACCCUGGAGGCUCAGCCAUCCAUUCACCCCAGGUGCCAUCUAAACUGGUUUCUGGUGGAUGAGAAGAAGCUAGCUCUGGGAAGAGGGUUCCAGGCAGACAGAACAACCGUGCAAAGCCAGUAGCCUGAGAGCUAUCGGGGGAUGGACAGAUGUCAGAGGGCCCUGCAGUCUACACAGCUGUGUGGAGCACCGUGCAGAAGCCGAGGGCCUGGUCCCCAGCCCUUGAAGCCUGGACCUGGGAGCUCAGGACUUCCUCCCUCUUGAAGUGGUGGGUGAGCCCUGGAUAUUUUACCUGAACGUGACACAGGGCCGGGGGAGGGAACUGUGAGAAGAGGAGAGAGUUUAGGAACUUUCU